UGCAAGCCUGCGAUUACCCACUCGGAAUACGCCGUCUGUCUGGCGCUCUGUGGUUCUGUUCCUUCGCGAAUCAGUGAGCAGAGAUCACGAGGUAGAUAGGUGGGUUUUAUGAGGUUAUCACGAAAGCUCCCGAGACCAGAGGAACGCCCGCAAGGUGAAAUGACACAAUAUAUCAUCUGCAUCCUGAGAGGAGGUCUGCGUUGCGUAAAAGAAGCGGAUGAUUGAGGAUAAACUGGGAGGUUUCCCGUGUCUCGGGGUGAUUCCAGUGUCUCAGGAGUCGCGUCUGAGCGGUAAUAGACGAGAGAGACCUAGAGAGAAUAGGUUGUUUGCGCUCCCGGGAGGUCCCGCUCUGCAUGAAAAGGAGCGAUGCAAAAGAGAUUCCCAAGAAGGAUUCCCGAUCUGCGGCCCCUUUUCCGGCGUCUUUUCUUCACGCAAAAAGGUGUGGAUCUGGGCCUGUUCCAGUGAAAGCAGGAUAUCCUCCUCGUCCGACUCGUGAAAGGAAAACGUUUCUUCUUGUCCGCGAUAAGAAGCAAGGCGGCUCCACGGCACCACAGAUUCACUCCAGUGAUCAGAGAGAGAGAGAGAGACAGAG